AUUGAACGCUGGCGGCCGGCCUAACACAUGCAAGUCGAACGAGUGGCGGACGGGUGAGUAAUGUCUGGGAAACUGCCUGUUGGGGGGGGAUACCUACUGGAAACGGUAGCUAAUACCCCAUACCAUCAGUUUUCCCCGGUUGGGAUUGGCUAGUUGGUGGGGUAACGGCUCACCAAGGCGACGACCCCUAGCUGGUCUGAGAGGAUGACCAGCCACACUGGAACUGAGACACGGUCCAGACUCCUACGGGAGGCAGCAGUGGGGAAUAUUGCACAAUGGGCGCAAGCCUGAUGCAGCCAUGCCGCGUGUAUGAAGAAGGCCUUCGGGUUGUAAAGUACUUUCAGCGGGGAGGCGUUACCCGCAGAAGAAGCACCGGCUAACUCCGUGCCAGCAGCCGCGGUAAUUC
rnacentral:rRNA from 1 species